rnacentral:lncRNA from 1 species
GGGAGCUAGUUCCCCACCCUUCCCAUUUUAGGGCUGGAAUUUCUCUCUCCAGGCUUCUCCUCUUUGGUUGACCUGGCCUUGCUGUGAGGGGCUUUGGAAGCCUGUGCAUGUGAACAAGUCUGUGCCCAGGAGAGGGGGUGGAGAGCCUGGCAGACAACAAAGGCCUGGGCCCCAGGAAAAGCUGCUCACGUGGGAUUUAGGGAGAUCUGUAGUACCCAAGCCAUCUCCCAGCUGCCAUGCCUGAGAAGCCUGAAGUGCCAGGGACUGAACUCAGAGGAACCCCUGAAAGGUGUGUGUGUGUGUGUGUGUGUGUGUGUGUGUAAUAUAAAGGUUUAUUUAUUAUAAGGAACUGGCUCACAUGAUUAUGGAGGCUAAGAAAUCCCUAAAUGUAGUCAGCAAGCUGGAGAGCCGAUGGUGUAGUUCUAGUUCGAAGGCCAGCAGGCUCACAUCCCAGGAAGAGUCAGUGUUUCAGCUCCAGUCUGAAGACAGGAUAAGACUAAUGUCCUAUUGCAAACCAUCAGGCAGGAGGAGUUUCCUAUGCUUUGUGGAAAGUCAACCCUUUGGUCUAUUCUGGCCUUCAACUGAUUAGAUAAGACCCACCCACAUAGGAAAGGACAAUAUGCUUUACUUAGUCUGCUAAAUUAUAUUAAUAUUAAUAUUAAUUGUAUUAAUAUUAAUCUCAUCCAGAAAUAUCCUCACAGACACACCUAGAAUAAUGUUUGAUCACAUAUCUGCCUAUUCCAUGGCUCAGUCAAGUUGACACAAAAUUUACUAUCACACUUAGUAUCUAUGGCCUCAUGCAUCAGUGGGUAUCCUGGUGUGCCAGGGGGAUGGGCACCAAUCUUAGGACCUCCUGGAGUUUUUGGUCACCCUGUAAUAGAGAGGAUAUUGUCAUUUGCAGUAGAAGGAGAGCACAGCUUGGGUGGGCCCAUCUGUUCAGCCACGGAGAUCACAAAGUAUCUUGACCAACAACCACACCUGCCCCAUGGACCUCUCUUGGUGGCAGAAACCUCAAAGCUUUGCCCAUCAGCUUGUCGAACAUGACUCUCACUUAUCUUCUUCUUCCCUACCUCCUGGGUUUAACAACAAUCUUCGCCCCGUGGUCUGUACCAGAAACCUGGGUAUUAUAUUCUAAACCUCAUACUAUUCUUCUGCUAUCACUCAAGUCUGCCAGUUUCUUUCUCCUUAAUAUUUCCUUCUCAGGUCCAUUAUUUUUUUCUACCCCCUGUCAUCACUCAGGCCCUACCUGGCAUAGUCUUUUGCUGCUUUCCUGCAUCUUCCUCCCCAGUGAUUUUCUUGUCCUCAGUUUUGUCCCACAGAGCCUGUCAUCCACAUUCUUGCCAGAGGGAGCUCUCUAAAAUAAGAGAUCCAGCCACAUCAUUUCCUGAUUAAUCAUCUUAUCAGCUUCUCAUUGCCUAAUAGAGUUUGUAAGCUGAUGCCCUAAGGGUUGAAUUCAGCUCACACUAAAAAAAAAAAGAACUUGACUAUCUUUAUAUACUGAAGAGUUUGUACCUUCUAGUUUGCUGCUGUCCUCACCACUCCUUAUUGUCUUCCACCUGUCCACUUGACAAAUACACUGUAUGUUUUAUUUUUAUUUUUAUUAUUUAUUUAUUUAUUAUUUUAGGAAAUUCAGUCUGUCAACUCUUUAUUCGGCAUAGGAGAAAUGGCUGUAUUAACCACUGACAAAUACACUAUGUUUUUUAAACAAGGAAUGAUAUGGCAUUUAUUCCUUCCAUGAAUAACUAAACAUAUUCUAAUUUCAGUAGCAGAAGGACAGUAAGAGAAAGAAAACUCAUAAAUGCUGGAAAUGGACCAACAGUUGAAUUUUAAAAAGAAACAUCAAAGACUCUAGGUGUCCGCUUUUUUUUUUUUUUUUUGUCUUUUUAGGGCUGCACCCAAGAGAUAUGGAGGUUCCAAGGCUAGGGGUUGAACCGGAGCUACAGCUGCCAGCCUACACCACAGCUCAUGCAACACUGGAUCCUUAAGUCACUCAGCAAGGCCAGGGAUUGAACUUGCAUCCUCAUGGAUGCUAGUCAGAUUCAUUUCCACUGAGACAUGACAGGAACUCCUAGGUGUCCAUUUUAAGAGUCUGCAAGAUUUAUUCAUACUAUAUCAUACUUCAUCACUGUCAUAUCAACAGUCUCCCACCCACAGAAAUUUGGGAGUUCCCAUUGUGACUCAGCAUGAAUACCUGACUAGUAUUCAUGAAGACGCAGGUUCAAUCCCUGCCCUCGCUCAGUGGGUUAAAGAUCCAAUGUUACCACAAGCUGUGCUGUAGGUCGCAGACGUGGCUUGGAUCCCGCAUUGCUGAGGCUGUGGUGUAGGUCGGCAGCUGAAGCUCCAAUUUGACCUCUAACCUGGGAACCUCCAUGUGCUGCACCUGCGGCCCUUAAAAGAAAAAAAAAAAAAAA